CCAGGAUUAGAUGCUCUGGUAGUACUCCCCGUAAUCGAUGAAUGCUAGGAGGUGUGGAGCAAAGCUGUUCGGCGGCGCCGCAACCGCAUCAAGCAUUACUCCUGGGGAGGAGGUACGCAAGAAUGAAGCUCAAAGGAAUAGUCGGGGAGGCGCACAACCGGUGGAGCAUGUGGUGUAAUUAGAAGCAACGCGAAGAAGCUUAUCAGGUCUUGACAUCACGAUGGUCGGCGCGUAGCGGGGCCUUCUCUUCGGAGCAUCGGAGACAGGUGGUGCAUGGUGGUCGUCAUCUCGUGUCGUGAGAUGAUGGGGUAAGUAGCGCAACGAGCGCAACCCUUAUCCUCAGUAGUCAGCAGGUAAAGCUGGGCACUCUGUGGAGAGUGCCAGGGAUAUCCUGGAGGAAGGGGGGGAGGACGUCAAAUCAUCACGCCCCUUAUGAUAUGGGGUACACACGCGCUACAAUGGGGUAAACAAAGGGAGGCAAAACCGCGAGGGGGAGCAAAUAUCAAAAAUAACGUGUCAGUUCGGGGUGCAGUGUGCACCUCGAGUGCACGAAGACUGGAAUCGCUAGUGAUCGCGAGUCAGAACGUCGCGGGGAAUACGUUUCCGGGUCUUGUGCACACCGCCCGUCACGCCACGGGA
rnacentral:rRNA from 1 species